rnacentral:rRNA from 1 species
GACGGAGGGUGCUAGCGUUGUUCGGAAUUACUGGGCGUAAAGGGCGCGUAGGCGGCCGCUUGCGUCGGAUGUGAAAGCCCGGGGCUCAACCCCGGAACGGCAUCCGAUACGGGGCGGCUAGAGACCGGGAGAGGAGGGUGGAAUAGCCAGUGUAGAGGUGAAAUUCGUAGAUAUUGGCUGGAACACCGGUGGCGAAAGCGGCUCUCUGGCCCGGUUCUGACGCUGAGGCGCGAAAGCGUGGGGAGCAAACAGG